GUAUUUUUUAAAAUUGCAGUAUACUACUGUAUUUGCUGUAACGUUCUCAUUGGCGGCGUUCUAUUGAGGUCGUUUUAUUUCCCUCAUUUAUUAUAUUUGGAUUGACAACAUUUGCCCUACACCGUGUCUACAACGCCGCAACAGCUUGGGAUGGACUACACCGGAUGUGUUGCAUCGCUUAUAAUGAUUGGAAAGUCCUUCAUGUCAGACACAACAUGAGAGCUUGAAGUACAUCUGUAAGUCAGAAAUUUACCGGGGCAUUACUGUACUGUAAACAUCCACUGUAGAUUGUAUAUUUAAUGUGUUUUAUAUUGUCUUCUUUUGUCGAGUCGCGCUGCACCGUGCCACUCGUGUCCGAGGAAGACGCUGAAGCAGCGGGCAGCGUCGCGGCAUUUGCCCGGGGAUGAACCCGCGAGAGCGGAAGAGUUCCGGAGAACAUCCGAGCAGUGUGUCGAUGCAAUUUACGAGAGAUUAAGACCAGCAAGUAAGGCAACUGCAAUGAAGAAUCAAGAAAGACGAGCAUGCCAUCCACACUGAGACUGAUAGUUCAUGAGAAGACAUUUCUGUCAUUAACAAAGUGGAUGGUGAGCAAAGGUGGUGGUCACGUUUUGGACGUUUUGUCUUUUUCUCCAUUGUUUCUGUUGCCUAUAGAUUAUUUGUGAGGAUACAACAUAAUGGACUGCAAAACAUCCUAAGACAGCGGAAAUGGUGAAGCUGCACUGUUCCAGCAGUUUAAGACUGUAUUUUUAAGUGUUAUACAUGCAUUGUUUUAAAUAAA